ensembl:lincRNA 2210414B05Rik RIKEN cDNA 2210414B05 gene
CCCCUAAGCUGUGAGACUAGGCUGAAGCCUGAAGACUGGCGUUCUCUACCCACCCCAGAGACACCCCAGCAAGUUCAGUCUUCAUGAGAUUCAAAUUCCAUGGCUAAUAGUAGGGAUUAUUCCCACCCAUCAGAGAAGCUAGCAUACAAUGCCCUGUUCUCAAGACUUCAACCAACCUUGAAUAUCUACUAAGUAAAUUCCCAUUGUUCAAAUACUGUCAACAUACAAACUUACAAAAAUGCAAACUACAGCAAACUGUAAGUAUUUUUGCUCUUGGACCUGGAGUUGAAUUGGCUGUUCAUCCCACAACUCAAAGAGUUAUCCUUGGCCUGUUACUGAAGAAAGAAUCACCCUGAGUCGACAUCCUUGUGGAAUGGCUGACUCACUAUCCCAUGCCAACAAGCAGCAGUUGGGAAGCUGGGCUAGGUGGAUGACUGCAAGUUUGAAACCAGCUUGAGCUAUGGAGUGAAUUCCAGAUUGCCCAGAGAUAUGGAGACUCUAAAUCUCAUCAACAGCCAAGAGGACCAUCACACCUUCCAAAGGUUUCAUGGCUUUCCAGUCUCAUCACAAACUAGUAACUAAGCAUUUAGCAGAUGGGCUGUGGGACACAUGAAUGCUCAAACCCAUAUAUAUAUAUAUAUGAUAUACAGGACUAAUAUAUCUACAUAUCUGUAUUUAAAUAUAUAUAUAUAUUUAUGGCCUCUUCAUUGUAAUGAACUGCCUAAAUAUUUGAAUAUUUCUCCUUUCAAUAAAGUGAAAGAUUUG